UGCCGAAUCAACUAGCCCUGAAAAUGGAUGGCGCUUGAGCGAGGGACCUAUACCCAGCCGUUGCUGGCUUGUGCGUUGCCUAGCGCCUGGCCGCAACGAGUAGGAGGGUCGUGGCGGUUGCGUCGAAGGCUUUGGGCGUAGGCCCAGCUGGAGCUUCCGUCAGUGCAGAUCUCGGUGGUAGUAGCAAAUAUUUAAGUUCGAUCCUUGAAGACUGAAGUGGAGAAGGGUUCCACGUGAACAGUAGUUGAAUGUGGGUCAGUCGAUCCUAAGAUACUGGCUUAUGCCUUGUAUCAUUGAGAGGGAAAAGUUUCUUUUCUCUCGGAUAUCAAAAGGGAAUAGGGUUAAUAUUCCCUAACGCAGACACAGAGAUUGCGGCUCUUUGAGUCGCUUGCGCGGUAACGCAUUCGAACUUGGUUACGUCGCUCAGAGACCGAGCUAGAGUUCUCUUCUCUAGUUAAGGAACGGACUCCCUGGAAUCGGUUCAGCCGUAGAUAGGGACGUUGUUUCCGUAAAGCAUCGCGGUUUCUGUGAUGUCUCGUGUUCUCUGGACGGCCCUUGAAAAACCAAGGAAGGCUAUUAAUCUGUGCUGCAUCGUACCGAUAUCCGCAUCAGGUCUCCAAGGUGAACAGCCUCUA
rnacentral:rRNA from 1 species